ACAUGAUGACAUGUGCAGAAAUAUUCUGAAUUCUAAGGGAAGUUCCACAUUAUAUAGUCUCGGCAUGUAUCACGAUGAAAAAAGCCAUGGAUGAGAAGUCAAAGAGUAUAGAAUUUUCUAGAGAUGGACAUUCCGGAAGGAGGCAGUGUUUUUAGGAAAGCAUCACCGAAUAAAUGCAUGAAUGACAACGACAACAAAAGGCAAGAAGGUGUAUGCCAUCUUGCCCUCCAGAGGAAGCACCAAGACAGAGAUGAAGUAGAGGCCAAGUGCUGGUAUACUUGAAAAUGCUAUUUUAGACCACGUGUGAGCUGCUCGCAAAGGAGGUGGCCUGAAACUCUCUUUCUGCACCGUGAGACCAUCACCC